GGGGUGGGGGGUGAUGAAGGCUGCACGCACGAAAUUCCUCCAAGGAACCUCUGCGAGCGUUCUUUUUUUUCUUCUUUUUUUUUCAUCACGCGCAUGCUAAAAAUAGAAACAGGGUUGGAUCGUGAUCCAGAAAUAGAUAGGGGGCAUCACUCCUAUAAAAGGCACACCAUUCAAGAGUACAGUGUGUGCACUGUAGGAAGAACCGAAAAGCACGAGCACAUUUUAAAGCAGAGACCACUUUUAUUUUUCUCUUUUCCCCUGCAUGGUGACGCUCCCGAAUCUUGCAUGGUUUCCACACACACUUUUGGAGAUGAUGGCGGGUAUGGCUCAAACCAGUUGAAACACAGAAUGGGAAUGCUGCAAGGAGCAAUGUGACCGUGGAAUAGAAGAAAGGGAAAAAGGAGUGACGCACAAACAUUCAAACGGGAAACACUGUAUGGUAAGUACCACAGUGGGGCUAAGAAAUACCCCUGAAGAUAUUUUAUAGAAAGGAGCAUUAUUUGAUUUUUUUUUAAAUCAUAGUUUAUUAAUAUAAGUCAUUUUCUUAUUUAUGUGUUUAUUAUUUGUUUUGUGACCAUGAAAGUGUAAAGACCUAUGGAACGACCAGAUACAAUGAGCUGAUAUUGUAUCAGUAAAUGAAUGCGUGUUGAUGAGGGUGUGAAUAUUAUUUGUGUGUAUGAUUUGUUUGUGGUAUAUGAGGUUUGUAUAUGUAAUUUGUGUUGCAAAAUUUAAUUAUCUUUUUUGUUACAUAUACUUACAGGGUCACACCCAUGCUGAGAAUGUAAAAAAUGAUAUGCGUCGUAUAAAUAAUGAACAUUUUUCAUAAAAAUAACAAUAUUACCAUGUAUCUAAUGAAAAUGUGUAUUCCUAGUAGAGUACAGUACAAGGUUAUGAAAGCCUGUGAGCUUUUAUCUCCUAUUGUUUUUUUAAAAAUGUUUUUUUUUAAACUGCCUUAAAUACUGUGUAGGCCAUUUCAUUUGUUUAUUUUGAUGGCAAGUCCGCACCUUGGAGUGUUUUUCCAUAUGUACUGUAUGUAUGAUAAUAUCUGGUAAUCCUAGUAACCAACCGGAUUAUCAUUAUCCAUCGAAGGUGUAAUAUAAAUAAACGAUUUCAAAAACCCUUCA